rnacentral:rRNA from 1 species
AGUGAACGCUGGCGGUAGGCCUAACACAUGCAAGUCGAACGGCAGCACAGUAAGAGCUUGCUCUUACGGGUGGCGAGUGGCGGACGGGUGAGGAAUACAUCGGAAUCUACUUUUUCGUGGGGGAUAACGUAGGGAAACUUACGCUAAUACCGCAUACGACCUACGGGUGAAAGCAGGGGAUCUUCGGACCUUGCGCGAUUGAAUGAGCCGAUGUCGGAUUAGCUAGUUGGCGGGGUAAAGGCCCACCAAGGCGACGAUCCGUAGCUGGUCUGAGAGGAUGAUCAGCCACACUGGAACUGAGACACGGUCCAGACUCCUACGGGAGGCAGCAGUGGGGAAUAUUGGACAAUGGGCGCAAGCCUGAUCCAGCCAUACCGCGAGGGUGAAGAAGGCCUUCGGGUUGUAAAGCCCUUUUGUUGGGAAAGAAAAGCAGCAGGUUAAUACCCCGCUGCUCUGACGGUACCCAAAGAAUAAGCACCGGCUAACUUCGUG